AAUGUAGGCGGUUUUGCAAGUCAGGGGUGAAAUCCCUCAGCUUAACUGAGGAAGUGCCUUUGAAACUGCAUAACUAGAGGACAGGAGAGGAAAGUGGAAUUCCCGGUGUAGCGGUGGAAUGCGUAGAUAUCGGGAGGAACACCAGAGGCGAAGGCGGCUUUCUGGACUGAUCCUGACGCUGAGAUUCGAAAGCUAGGGGGGCAAACA
rnacentral:rRNA from 1 species